rnacentral:tRNA from 1 species
CGUGGCUGAGCGGUAAAGCUCUUGAUUUCCGAAUCAAGGGGUCCUGGGUUCGAAUCCUGGUG